rnacentral:misc_RNA from 1 species
AACGCACAUUGCGCCCCUUGGUAUUCCAUGGGGCAUGCCUGUUCGAGCGUCAUUUGUACCUUCAAGCCUAGCUUGGUGAUGGGUGUUUUGUCAUGAUUGACUCGCCUUAAACAAAUUGGUAGCCAACUCUACAGUAGGAGCGCAGCACAUUGCAUUCUCUGUUGUUAGGGUGAUCUCCCACAAAACAAUCCACUCUUUGACCUCGGAUCAGGUAGGGAUACCCGCUGAACUUAA